GGUAAUUGUAAUAACAUCAUUCGUUUUUAUCAGAUAUGUAUAGGUAUGAGUGUGUAUGUGCUUCUGCAUUUGCUUUUUUGUCAUAAUACAGCUGUAACGAGGUGUGUGUGUGUGUGUGUGUGUGUGUGUGUGUGUGUGUGUGUGUGUGUGUGUGUAUGUGUGUAUGAUAGUACUCAAGUGUAUGUGUUUAUUUCUGCAGGGAGCUCUCAUGCAUGGCUUUAGCUGCAGGUGCAUUCAACAUCUGUAAGAUAACAUUCACUUCACUGCUGUCUACAUCACACACACACACAUACACACACACACACACACACACACACUACACCCCCCUCUCUCCGUCUUUCUCUCACCCGUCCAAUCAUCCACACCCUCUCUCUCUUUCCCAUCUCUCCAUUCUCCUGUCAUUUCAGAGCGUUCGGCUUUUGGGAAAACAUGAGUGCUGAAUGUUUGAGGCGAAGGGUGCCUGUAUUAAUGUCUCUCGCUCUCUCUCUCUCUCUCUGAGGAGAAGCAGACGGACAUAUGGAGCGUCACAAGCCACUGAGCCCAAGAGAAGUGGAGAAGAAAAAAUGGACAGAAAGAGAGAAAGGGCAAAUGUCUACCAAUCCUUCAAGAAAAUUAUAAGGCCAAACCAAAAUGCAGUGGGCCGGAAUCAAGGAUUUAACAUCUUGCCAUGGGCCGUAUGUGGCUCCUAUGUUGCAGGCCCAAUGUGGUACCCUUGUUCUAGAGGAUAAGACACAUGUGUGUGCGUGAGAGAAGUGUAAGAGAAAGAUUCAUCCAUAAAGCACUUCUGCAAUAAGAGUCUGUUGAAAUGGAACAGCUGUACGGUGUAACAGGAGAGCUGUGGAACGAAAGGAGAGGAGGUCCACAGACAUGCCAAGAUUUCAUUAACUGCCACAGCGGUCUGUAUUCAGUCAUGCUGGCGUUUUAAAUCCCUGCUUCAGUUUUCACCUCUAAAUGCAACAAGUUCAAUAAACUGCUCUCACACCUUAUUAACAUGACACAUGGGUGAUAGGAUGCAUUUAGUGGCUUAGACUUUAUAAACUGACAGAGUUGGUUUUCUAGGUAAUAAUCAUUAUCAACCAGUAAUAUCAUAUAUCUAACAUGCUGUUAUAAAAACAAAUCAAGUAUUAUUA